rnacentral:misc_RNA from 1 species
UGUAAAAGCUUAAUAUCUUUGCCUCGAAGUUUGAAAUACCUCACUACAUUAAAGACUCUUCUUAUUGACAAUUGUGAAAACCUCAAUUUGACAAUGGGGGAAGGGAAAGACGGUCAAGACUUGGCCCGAUUCGGCCUUCAAAAGCUGAUACUUGUGCAGUUGCCAAAGUUGGUGGAGUUUCCAAAAUGGCUUCUCCAAGGAUCCACCAACACUCUGCAA